CCUACGGGAGGCAGCAGUGGGGAAUAUUGGACAAUGGGGGCAACCCUGAUCCAGCCAUGCCGCGUGUGUGAAGAAGGCCCUCGGGUUGUAAAGCACUUUCAGUGAGGAAGAACGCCUGGUGGUUAAUACCCAUCAGGAAAGACAUCACUCACAGAAGAAGCACCGGCUAACUCCGUGCCAGCAGCCGCGGUAAUACGGAGGGUGCGUGCGUUAAUCGGAAUUACUGGGCGUAAAGCGCGCGUAGGUGGCUUGAUAAGCCGGUUGUGAAAGCCCCGGGCUCAACCUGGGAACGGCAUCCGGAACUGUCAAGCUAGAGUGCAGGAGAGGAAGGUAGAAUUCCCGGUGUAGCGGUGAAAUGCGUAGAGAUCGGGAGGAAUACCAGUGGCGAAGGCGGCCUUCUGGACUGACACUGACACUGAGGUGCGAAAGCGUGGGUAGCAAACAGGAUUAGAUACCCUGGUAGUC
rnacentral:rRNA from 1 species